rnacentral:rRNA from 1 species
CCAGACUCCUACGGGAGGCAGCAGUGGGGGAUAUUGCACAAUGGGGGGAACCCUGAUGCAGCGACGCCGCGUGGGUGAAGAAGCGCCUCGGCGCGUAAAGCCCUGUCAGCAGGGAAGAAAAUGACGGUACCUGAAGAAGAAGCCCCGGCUAACUACGUGCCAGCAGCCGCGGUAAUACGUAGGGGGCAAGCGUUAUCCGGAUUUACUGGGUGUAAAGGGGGCGCAGACGGCGAUGCAAGCCAGGAGUGAAAGCGCAGGGCCCAACCCCGGGACGGCUCUUGGAACUGCGUGGCUGGAGUGCAGGAGGGGCAGGCGGAAUUCCUGGGGUAGCGGUGAAAUGCGGAGAUAUCAGGAGGAACACGAGUGGCGAAGGCGGCCUGCUGGACGAUGGCUGACGUUGAGGCUCGAAAGCGUGGGGAGCAAACAGGAGUGGAUACCCGUGUA